CCGAAGGGAAGGUAACGUCGUCUGCGGGAGCUUGCUCGCGUUCCACCCUUGGGGUUUCGAAAGAUGCUCAAUGGUCCAAUGGAGAAUGGUUCAGGAUUGCUUUUGCUGCUCAGAAACAAGUUGUCUUUUUGAUGCUUAUAAUCUGGAAAGGGAAUUGAACUGCUGAUGCUGCUGUGGCCGUGGCUGUGAUGUAUUCUACUGUCAAAUUGGAUACAUUGCUUCUGUGGUGUGCAUAGUGGUUUGCAUUGUCCAAUCAGGCUAUCCUUUUGGUAUGCUGCAGAAAGGAUGGAUGUUGCACCUGAGGUACACUUGUUUUAGAGCUACAAUGCCUCAAGAUUUGCAAGUUUAGGUGGCCUUGAAGCCUUUGCCUUGGUUCUGCUCAUGACCUUGCUACACUAUCAUUGCAAAGUUGGUUGGAUGUGGUUGCAGGUCUUGGCAAGAUUUUGGACCUUCACUGUGAUUGUGAGUUGGGUUUGGUGCUGCAGCAUGAUGAGCCAUGUGCAUUACUCGUUCCUGAUUGAUGUAGCAGCUUUGUUUUGCCUAUUCUGUUGUAGGUAAGUUCUCUGCAAACCUGGCUUUGAUCUAUGUUCAAUGCUAUGCCUUGCUAUGCACUAGUCCUGGCAUGUUAUACCUCAAAGUGCAGCAUUAUGUACUGCCAAGGUUUGCAACAGGUGGCCACAAUUCAACCAUGUUUUGGCUUGGUCUGUCAUGAGUCGGCAUUUUUCUACAGGAUUCAACAUGUUAGAUUCAGUUGUGCAUGGUGAUUCUGUUAAUUGUCAGCUGCAAGCAGAUUUCUUCCUGGCUUGGAUAAGUAACAACCAUAUCUUCCCUCAUGGCUUGCUUUUAUUUGGGAUUCAUAACAUGUUGCCAACUGUUUUUUUUUGCAGGUUUGGUUCUAGUCGCUACAACCUCCAUGAGCCUCUCUCAUCAUUAUGAGUUCAAAAACCAAAUGCAUGUGUAUUGGUUAAGUUGGACUUUGGUUAGGCCGUCAUGCCAACACUGAGUUGGCAACAUGUGUGUAUUUCUCUUUAUAUUUCCUGCCUAAUGAUUCUGCUCCACGUUUAUCUGCAGAUGCCCUUUCUGUAAUCUCAUUUAGGCGGUUAUCGCAUCUGCUUUUGUACAGGGCCAAUUCCUGCAUUUUGCUGCGGUACAACUCCAUCCUCUCUUUGAAUCCCAUCUCACAUUCUGCAUUUCUUCGGUCUUUUACUCUGCAGUCUCGACAUUUUGCUCACUAUUAUCUGGCAUUCCUUGUUGCUGCUGAAAACCUGGGCGUACACCCCAUGCCGCAUUUCAUCGAACACCUCGAACGCAUCAUGAUUUGCCGUAACCUUCUGGCUCCGUAGAGAAAUGGGUCUAAGAGAUCGAAGUACUUUGAGAGAAAUCAAGAGUCGUUAGUCCCGCUUGUCCCACCGUACAGUUGAAGGUGAUGACGCCUCCAUUGUAUCGUUGGAUGGAAGAAGGAGUUGGUUUUCUACCGAAAAAGAUUGAAAGGCUCCCGAAAGCAGACGUCAAGUAUCGAUUUGUGAUUGAGAUUGGAAACUCCUUGAAACCAACUUCUUAAAUUUCGCAGUUUGAAUAGUCAUUUGUUUUUUUACUUCUUGUAUGCAAUAAGUGUUUUUGAUAGUAGACAUAGAAUGUUUGCUGUUAGCUGCGAUGCCGUUUCGGCAUGUUGCAACUGGUUUUUCAAUUGCAGCUUGUUUACAUUUGUAUGCCACUUUGCUGUUACGUUUUGGUUGUUUAGCUGGCUCGUGUUUGCUACUUAUGGAGUGGCUCAAAGUUUGUCAUUGUCUAAGUCCCUGGAAAUAGAUGCCACACAUAACAUGUCCUAUUAUUAUUUGCUACUACUACCAAGCUACCAUCCCACAUCACUGUCAGAUAGCGUACAAACGUAUCCACCUCUGGCACCUAUAUUUCAAUUCACAGCUGCAUGAAUUUGCUGUCAAACCUCACACAUGAAUAUUGCCAUCUUGA